rnacentral:rRNA from 1 species
AACGAACGCUGGCGGCAUGCCUAAUACAUGCAAGUCGAACGAGAUCUUCGGAUCUAGUGGCGCACGGGUGCGUAACGCGUGGGAAUCUGCCCUUGGGUUCGGAAUAACUUCUGGAAACGGAAGCUAAUACCGGAUGAUGACCUAAGUCCAAAGAUUUAUCGCCCAAGGAUGAGCCCGCGUAGGAUUAGGUAGUUGGUGAGGUAAAGGCUCACCAAGCCGACGAUCCUUAGCUGGUCUGAGAGGAUGAUCAGCCACACUGGGACUGAGACACGGCCCAGACUCCUACGGGAGGAAGCAGUAGGGAAUAUUGGAAAAUGGGAGAAAGCCUGAUCCAGCAAUGCCGCGUGAGUGAUGAAGGACUUAGGGUUGUAAAGCUAUUUUACGCGGGAUGAUAAUGACAGUACCGGGAGAAUAAGCUCCGGCUAACUACGUG